rnacentral:rRNA from 1 species
GAGUUUGAUCUUGGCUCAGAUUGAACGCUGGCGGCAGGCCUAACACAUGCAAGUCGAGCGGAUGACGGGAGCUUGCUCCUUGAUUCAGCGGCGGACGGGUGAGUAAUGCCUAGGAAUCUGCCUGGUAGUGGGGGACAACGUUUCGAAAGGAACGCUAAUACCGCAUACGUCCUACGGGAGAAAGCAGGGGACCUUCGGGCCUUGCGCUAUCAGAUGAGCCUAGGUCGGAUUAGCUAGUUGGUGGGGUAAUGGCUCACCAAGGCGACGAUCCGUAACUGGUCUGAGAGGAUGAUCAGUCACACUGGAACUGAGACACGGUCCAGACUCCUACGGGAGGCAGCAGUGGGGAAUAUUGGACAAUGGCCGAAAGCCUGAUCCAGCCAUGCCGCGUGUGUGAAGAAGGUCUUCGGAUUGUAAAGCACUUUAAGUUGGGAGGAAGGGCAGUAAGUUAAUACCUUGCUGUUUUGACGUUACCGACAGAAUAAGCACCGGCUAACUCUGUGCCAGCCGCCGACCG